rnacentral:rRNA from 1 species
GAGCCUACGGGGGGCAGCAGUGAGGAAUAUUGGUCAAUGGCCGGAAGGCUGAACCAGCCAAGCCGCGUGAAGGACGAAGGUGCCAAGCAUUGUAAACUUCUUUUGUCAAGGGACAAAAUCAGGCUCGAGAGCCUGACCGAGGGUACUUGAAGAAAAAGCAUCGGCUAACUGCGUGCCAGCAGCCGCGGUAAUACGUAGGGGGCAAGCGUUAUCCGGAUUUACUGGGUGUAAAGGGAGCGUAGACGGCAGCGCAAGUCUGAAGUGAAAUCCCAUGGCUUAACCAUGGAACUGCUUUGGAAACUGUG